AUUAUAUUAUUAGUGCCUUAUAAUUAUGCAUUACAUAUUUAAUUAAUUAUUACAAUAUAUUUCGUGACUUGUAACCCGGCCUUAUAACCCUCAUUAGUGAUCUGCCACAUAAUAUUUCAUCAGUCCUUUCAUCACGCGCCCGACGUCAAAAUUCACGAAUCGGGUAUGCCCCAAAGAUCAUGGCGGAAUUGCAAUCGAAUGUUUUCGAUUUUGUGUGACUAAUAAUGUUCAUAUUUCAGUUUUUGUUUACCAGUCCGGGCUUGUGAUGGGCAUGGUUGGUUAACUGGACUUCGUUUCACAUCGUUUCUAGGUAUAAGAGAGUGUUCUCCAUCGCAUCGAAAGCGGUAAAAACUGACAAUUUUUCUACCUUUGAAGUCACCAAUCAAGUAAGUGUAAUAGUUCUGGAUACUUUUGCACUUUCACACUCAAGUACUGUUCUGGUAUAUUAAAUAAUACCAGGUAAUUGUAAUAUUUUUGUUAUAACAAAUUACAAGUUUUCUAACCGAGUAUGUGACUUUAAUACAGGAGUGUCAAUGUUUGUCAAAAUCACUUUGAUGUAAAUUUUGAUUAAGAUGUCUUGUGCAACCUGGGCUUAUCUGACAUGAUAUGUAUCCUGACUUCCAGUCUUCCAUCAUAUUGAUACAAUAUAAUUGCUGCAUGAUCCUGGGGUUUCAAAUUUGAAUUUGCUUGCAAAUGCCUAACAUAUAUAAUAGCUCUCUGUUAUGAUCAACAACUAUUAGAAAGUUUUGGAAAAAUGUCAAGAAUUCAGACCAACUCCGAAAUAGAGGUUCAUUUGCUGAUUUUCCAAACAAAUUAUGUUGAAAUCAAUCCUAUGUCCUUUUAGGAUUUUAUCAUCAUUUCCAUAUUUUCAUGCAAAUUAUUGUAUGUAUGUACCACUAUCAUUCGUCUUUGUAUGUAUUUCGGCAACAGGAAUAUAACUGCAGCCAUAAAGUUCUCAAUCUAAUUUUAUCAUUGCACAUGUGAAUGGCUGGUAACCACAAGGAGAAAGUUAUUAACUGACAAAUUUUCAAAAAUAUUUUAGUGGGCUUACAAAGAUUUUCUAAACAUCAUGCCAAGCUUGAAGGCACCAACAGAAGUUAUCAUUGGUGUGAGAGUACAAAGCAGGCAAAAGACUAAGAAUAUUACAUUUUCUACCGAGCGCAGAGAAGACCUUAUCACAGAGGCUUUAUUCUACAAAGACUUUGCUGGUCAUAAAAGUGGAAGUGAAUUCGUGUCACCAGGCUCACUGGAUCAGAUUGAUUAAAGAGAUAAUAAAAAUUGGCUUCUUACAACUAUAAAGAUAUAGAACUGAUUGCACUGGUCUCAGAUUAUCCUAGGGGAUUUGUUGUUGUCUGUGGUGGUUAUUAGCAGAAUGCAUCUUUUCACAUCAAACAGGAGAGAGGAAUUGCUGAAAAAGAUGAUGGAAUCUUCUUUCAAUAACGUUGACGUUACGAUAAAAUAUGUCAACAUUUUAAUAACCUAUUUAACCUAUUUCUAUAGUGCGUGUGAGAAGACAUAUAGUAUAAAAUUUAUUACAGCAAUUAAAUUCUAUACACAUACUAAGCAACAUAUCUGAGAUGCAAAUUUAAUUCAACUAAUUAUAACGAGAGAUAUCUGGUAUUUGUUAUGCAAAUACUUAUAUAGAUAUAAUAACCAUAACCAUAACCGUUUUUUCUUUAUGAACUUCGUGAAAAAGAUCAAGUAAAUUAAAUAAUCAUAGCCCUUCAGCACAUGAUCUUGUACUCUAGUGGUGAGAACAAGGAUUUCCCAAUGGUAAAUCGAUGCUUCGAAUCUUACCAUAACCGUUUUUUCAUUAUGAACCUCUUGGAAAAGAUAAAGU
rnacentral:lncRNA from 1 species